UUGACAUCCAGAGAAUUUAGCAGAGAUGCUUUAGUGCCUUCGGGAACUCUGAGACAGGUGCUGCAUGGCUGUCGUCAGCUCGUGUUGUGAAAUGUUGGGUUAAGUCCGCAACGAGCGCAACCCUUAUCCUUUGUUGCCAGCACGUAAUGGUGGGAACUCAAAGGAGACUGCCGGUGAUAAACCGGAGGAAGGUGGGGAUGACGUCAAGUCAUCAUGGCCCUUACGAGUAGGGCUACACACGUGCUACAAUGGCGUAUACAAAGAGAAGCGACCUCGCGAGAGCAAGCGGACCUCAUAAAGUGCGUCGUAGUCCGGAUUGGAGUCUGCAACUCGACUCCAUGAAGUCGGAAUCGCUAGUAAUCGUAAAUCAGAAUGUUACGGUGAAUACGUUCCCGGGCCUUGUACACACCGCCCGUCACACCAUGGGAGUGGGUUGCAAAAGAAGUAGAUAGCUUAACCUUCGGGAGGGCGUUUACCACUUUGUGAUUCAUGACUGGGGUGAAGUCGUAACAAGGUAAGCGUAGUGCU
rnacentral:rRNA from 1 species